rnacentral:rRNA from 1 species
ACCCGCUGAACUUAAGCAUAUCAAUAAGCGGAGGAAAAGAAACCAACAGGGAUUGCCCUAGUAACGGCGAGUGAAGCGGCAACAGCUCAAAUUUGAAAUCUGGCGUCUUUGGCGUCCGAGUUGUAAUUUGCAGAGGGCGCUUUGGCAUUGGCAGCGGUCCAAGUUCCUUGGAACAGGACGUCACAGAGGGUGAGAAUCCCGUACGUGGUCGCUAGCCUUUACCGUGUAAAGCCCCUUCGACGAGUCGAGUUGUUUGGGAAUGCAGCUCUAAAUGGGAGGUAAAUUUCUUCUAAAGCUAAAUACUGGCCAGAGACCGAUAGCGCACAAGUAGAGUGAUCGAAAGAUGAAAAGCACUUUGGAAAGAGAGUUAAAAAGCACGUGAAAUUGUUGAAAGAGAAGCGCUUGCAGCCAGACUUGCCUGUAGUUGCUCAUCCGGGUUUUUACCCGGUGCACUCUUCUAUAGGCAGGCCAGCAUCAGUUUGGGCGGUUGGAUAGAGGUCUCUGUCAUGUACCUCUCUUCGGGGAGAACUUAUAGGGGAGACGACAUGCAACCAGCCCGGACUGAGGUCCGCGCAUCUGCUAGGAUGCUGGCGUAAUGGCUGU